AAAAAUUUCCAGUAACAUUGGAAACUAUUUUUCUAUUUAGUCUCUUUCAACUUCAAAACCAUUUACAGCAAAACUUAUAAUGUAUUUCUUGUUUUUUUUUUGGUUUUGUAAAAAAAUGUCUACGUGGACAAAGAGAAGGGGGAGAGAAGUGUUUCAUCAAUGUCCACGGUUGUCUGCGAGAGGGGAUCUAAAAUGACGAUUUUUCUGUCCACCUGGAAUGUGGACAGCCCCUAACUCCGUUAACUCGAAAAAUGCCUUGAACUUUUUUGUGCUGUGUUGGCCAUAGAAAACGAAUAUUUUUUUUUACCGCAGAAUAAUAAUUCGGCUUUGGAUGAUGCGAUGACCAAAACUAACUCAUUAGGAAAGUGUAAGCAAAGUACACGAGAUAUACGCGAUGCGUUUCACCAAGGACCGUCCAGUGCUAAAUAUUCACCUACAGGCAAAACACAAAUGCAAGCAGAUCUGAAUAUAAUGCUAUUUCUUGCAACUACAAACCAGCCUUUCAGCCUAGUAGAAGAAGAUGGUUUCAAAAGAUUUGUUGAGUUUUUAAAUCCUCGCGUAACAGUCAAAAGUCAUACUACAUUUUCUCGUACUAAAUGCUCAUUACUUUACCACAAUGUGAAGAUUGCUGUUGACAAAAUUCUCACGAAUGAAUUGCCGCACUGUGAUGGUGUUGCGUUUACCAGUGAUACUUGGACGUCCCGAAGCAAUGAUCCUUACCAAAGCUUGACGAUACAUUAUAUAACAAAAGAUUUCGAUUUGAAAAAAUUGCGUGCGAAUGUAGAUCAUUCCAAGGGCGACAUACAGCUGAAGCAAUCGACCUAUGCGAUGAGAUGAUAGGAGGAAUACCUGGUAUUAAAGAUAAUACUACCAAAUAUGCUAUCACUGAUUCUGGAGCCAACAUGCUUAAAGGGAUGAAAAUGUCAAGAGAAAUCGGGAAUAAUAUUCGAUGUAUAGACCGCAUCUUGAAUACGUGUGUAUCGAAAGUGAUGGAACAUGAAACAAUCUCAAAACAAGUUCGGUUUUGCAAAGAAAUAGCUUCAAUGACACAUAAAUCAUCCUUGAGCCAAGAAAGGAUAAAACGGGCUUGUGAUGACUGCUUUCCUCAAGUUCAUUUCAGAAAAAUUUGUCAACCUAUUGUAACGCGAUGGAAUAGUCUGUUUUACUGCAUACAAUCGAUAAUACAUUUGAAAGUUCCCUUAUUAAAUAUCCGAAGCAUAGAUCGAGGUACAGAGCUGGCUAAGAUUAUUCCAGACGAAGAUGGUUUCGAGCGGUUAAGGCAAUUGAUGUUGCCGUUAGACGACAUUCGUGUCGCUUCAGAACAACUGUCACCCGAUAAAACACCUACUUUACAAUAUGCUAUGUGUUACUUGGUAACUCUAAACAACCUUGAAUUAAAGUAUCACGACUCUGGCAAAUAUGCGAGAGAAUUUAGUCGCCUUUUUAUCAACAAUCUAAAUCAAUAAAUUCCUAACAAAGGAAAAGAGGAAUUUUCGUACUGUGUAGGAAAUUUUUUACACCCUCGAUUUAAAGGCUCUGUAAUGAAAUUGGAUGACGACCAUUAUACACUUGAAACUGUGAAAAACAAAAUUUUGCGAGAACACUCAUCUCGGACACCGACGAAGCCUAAAAAGGAUAACGUUCUGAUGAAUACAUACGUCAACACACCUAGUUCUACUUGGGGGGAAUUGGAGCAAUUAACCGAACCAACCAUGAAUCGGGAAGCCGAAAAUUUAAACCUGGAUGUGAACAGUAAACCUGACUUAGAACGUGAAAUACUUGUCUAUUUGAACCACACGCCCCGAGUAGAUUCGGUAGAUGUUGACAUACUUGGUUGGUGGAGAGCUGCACAGGUGAAUCUCCCAUUAUUAUCACGUUUAGCUCGGCAAUAUCUUUGCAUCCCAGUCUCAUCAGCGGCUUCAGAGAGAACAUUUUCUGCAGGCGGAAAUAUCUCUACUCCACAGCGUCACUCUUUGGACCCUACAAACCUCGAAAAAUUAGUAUUUAUAAAAGAGAAUUUCGAUAAGGUACAAAUUUCCAAAUGGAUUUGGAAUGAUGAAAGUGCUGUAAAAGAAUAGAAAGUAUUUAAC